rnacentral:rRNA from 1 species
ACGAACGCUGGCGGCGUGCCUAAUACAUGCAAGUCGAGCGAAGUUUUUCUGGUGCUUGCACUAGAAAAACUUAGCGGCGAACGGGUGAGUAACACGUAAAGAACCUGCCUCAUAGACUGGGGCAACUAUUGGAAACGAUAGCUAAUACCGGAUAACAGCAUUAACUGCAUGGUUGAUGUUUAAAAGUUGGUUCUGCUAACACUAUGAGAUGGCUUUGCGGUGCAUUAGCUAGUUGGUGGGGUAAAGGCCUACCAAGGCGACGAUGCAUAGCCGACCUGAGAGGGUGAUCGGCCACACUGGGACUGAGACACGGCCCAGACUCCUACGGGAGGCAGCAGUAGGGAAUCUUCCGCAAUGGGCGAAAGCCUGACGGAGCAACGCCGCGUGAGUGAAGAAGGAUUUCGGUUCGUAAAGCUCUGUUGUUAGGGAAGAAUGAUUGUGUAGUAACUAUACACAGUAGAGACGGUACCUAACCAGAAAGCCACGGCUAACUACGUG